rnacentral:lncRNA from 1 species
ACAGCACCGCCCUACCUUGACAUUCAUAUGGCAAGACAACUGACUGCUUUCAUUGUCUUGAAGCAUGUAAAAUAUCUAUACCGUGUGCCAAGGAACUUCCCACGGAUCAGAAACGACCUACGACAGACCUACCACAAACUGAUGUCCCAAUAGACUUUUAGGUGCUGUGAGGCAGAGGUCAUAAACUCUUAUUUUCUGGGUACCAGGAUGUAGCCAAUGCUUGUUGACCAGCUAGACCCAGCUUCCUCAUGCUGCCCACCUGCUGGCUAGCUAGUGUGACUUGGAACACUGAGAGGUAACACCUGCUUCAUGGGCUGGAAUCUGACCCUGCUCCUCAACUCGGGCCUGGCCUUGCCUGUCAGUGUCUCAGGGUGGCCGUGCUUCUCUGUGGGUUGGGAAGGCUUAUGCGUGAGUGUCCGGUUAGCAGUUCACAUCAGGUGUCCGUGCACGGCUUCAUUCAUGAUAUCCAGUUCUCAUUGAAGACUUACCCUGGGGAAUCCUCCCAGUUCCCAAACCUGCUGUCAGUCAAUAACCUUUCCCUGACUAGCUGUACUCUGGGAGCAAACACUUAGCCUUGGCUUGGAAGCUCCCUAGCCUGUGUUACCUACGAAGAUCUCAGCGUUGGUCCACUGUCCCUUGAUGCAAAAGUUAUGCUCCCAUGACUUCCCAUAGCUUAUUUAUCCCAUCUUCAACAUCAGUGUUACCGGGAAUCUACCACUCAAAGGCCUGGAGCUAGGUUCUGGGAAUAACCAAAGGUUAAGAGACAGACAGACAGACAGAACAUCCUUCAUCUCUGAUAUUAUAAAUAUGUAAGAA